ACCUGGCUGGCUCAGUCAGUAGAGCAUGUGACUCUUGAUCUUGGGGUCAUGAGUUCAAGCCCCAUGUUGGGUA
rnacentral:tRNA from 1 species